rnacentral:misc_RNA from 1 species
ACGCAUCGUCGUUGCAAUCAUCCCUGGCACCUUCCCAACUACAAUACACAGUGCCCUAGAUGGAGUUUCCUUUUUGGAUCCAUUGUUGCAUACAAAACUCAAAUUCUUAUUACAUUAUAUUCACAAUUUUCUUUGCUUUUUAAUUUCUUUAUCUUCCGGUGUGUUUCAAUCGAAGAGAGAUGUACCAGUGGAGGAAAUUCGAGUUCUUCGAGGAAAAAUACGGGGGAAAGAGCAAGGUUCCUGAUGAUGUUAGUGGGAAGAUCGAGUGUUGCUCCAGCGGCAGAGGUAAGGUGGUCAUCGGCUCCGACGACGGCACCGUCAGCUUACUCGAUCGUGGUCUCAACUUUAAUUUCGCCUUUCCAGCUCAUUCCUCCUCCGUCCUCUUUCUCCAGCAGCUCAAACAACGCAACUUCCUUGUGACUGUUGGAGAGGAUGAGCAAAUAUCUCCUCAGCAAUCUGCCUUCUGCCUCAAGGUUUUUGACCUUGAUAAGAUGCAGCCAGAGGGCACUAGUUCAUCUGUACCUGAUUGCAUUGGAAUACUGCGAAUAUUCACUAAACAGUUCCCUCAGGCAAAGAUAACAUCAUUUUUAGUACUAGAGGAAGCUCCUCCAAUAUUGCUCAUAGCUAUUGGCUUAGACAAUGGUUGCAUUUACUGCAUCAAAGGGGACAUUGCGAGGGAGCGUAUUAAGCGCUUCCAACUUCAAGUGGAUACUGUUUCAGACAAAAGCCAUUCAUCCAUUACAGGUCUUGGAUUCAGAGUGGACGGUCAAGCCCUUCAGUUAUUUGCUGUAACUCCAAAUUCUGUGAGUUUAUUCAGCUUGCACAAUCAACCACCCAGGCGGCAAAUGCUAGAUCAGAUAGGGUGCACUGUCAAUAGUGUAACAAUGAGUGAUCGCUCGGAGUUGAUAAUUGGUCGACCUGAAGCUGUUUAUUUUUAUGAAAUUGAUGGGCGUGGUCCUUGUUGGGCAUUUGAGGGAGAGAAGAAAUUCCUAGGGUGCUUUCGUGGUUACCUUUUAUGUGUUAUUGCAGAUCAAAGAAGUGGCAAAGAUGCUUUCAAUGUUUAUGACCUGAAGAACCGCUUAAUAGCCCACAGUCUAGUAGUUAAGGAAGUUUCUCAUAUGCUCUGUGAAUGGGGUAACAUAAUACUUAUAAUGUCUGAUAAAUCAGCUUUGUGUAUUGGGGAGAAGGAUAUGGAAAGCAAGCUGGAUAUGCUCUUCAAGAAAAAUCUCUAUACUGUGGCCAUCAAUCUUGUUCAAAGUCAGCAAGCUGAUGCUGCAGCCACAGCAGAAGUGCUAAGGAAAUAUGGAGACCAUCUGUAUAGCAAACAAGAUUAUGAUGAGGCUAUGGCCCAGUACAUUAACACUAUUGGUCACCUUGAACCUUCAUAUGUGAUACAGAAGUUUCUGGACGCACAAAGAAUAUACAACCUUACAAAUUACUUAGAAAAUUUACAUGAGAAGGGUCUUGCUUCUAAAGAUCAUACUACUCUUCUCUUAAACUGCUAUACCAAAUUGAAAGAUGUUGACAAGCUGAAUGUAUUUAUUAAAAGUGAGGAUGGAGUUGGGGAACACAAGUUUGAUGUGGAGACUGCAAUAAGGGUGUGCCGUGCUGCCAAUUACCAUGAGCAUGCAAUGUAUGUUGCUAAGAAGGCUGGGAGGCAUGAACUGUAUCUAAAGAUCUUGCUUGAAGACCUUGGCCGAUAUGAUGAGGCCUUGCAGUAUAUUUCAAGCCUUGAACCAAGUCAGGCUGGUGUUACUGUGAAAGAAUAUGGUAAAAUUCUUAUAGAGCACAAGCCAGUUGAGACAAUUGAGAUACUCAUGAGGCUUUGCACUGAGGAUGGGGAAUCAGCUAAGAGAGGAUCUUCGAGUGCUGCAUACUUAUCUAUGUUGCCAUCACCUGUUGAUUUUCUCAACAUUUUCAUGCAUCACCCACAGUCUCUUAUGGACUUUCUUGAAAAAUAUACUGACAAGGUAAAGGAUUCUCCUGCUCAGGUAGAAAUUCACAAUACACUUUUGGAACUGUACCUGUCAAAUGAUUUGAACUUUCCAUCAAUAUCACAAGCUAGCAAUGGUGUAGAUCUUUCUCUCGGAGCAAAAUCAGGAGCACCUAGGAAAUUGAAAGCAGAAUCCAAUGGGAAAUUGAUUGUUGAUCACAAAGAUACAUCCAAGGAAAAAGAGCACAGAGAAAGGCGUGAGAAAGGACUAUGCUUGCUGAAGAGUGCAUGGCCAUCUGACCUGGAGCAUCCACUUUAUGAUGUUGAUCUUGCUAUAAUACUCUGUGAAAUGAAUGGAUUUAGAGAAGGGCUUUUAUAUCUAUAUGAAAAGAUGAAACUAUAUAAAGAGGUGAUUGCUUGCUACAUGCUGGCCCAUGAUCAUGAGGGUUUAAUUGCAUGCUGCAAAAGGCUGGGAGAUUCAGGUAAGGGAGGUGACCCAUCUCUUUGGGCUGAUUUGCUGAAAUAUUUUGGUGAACUAGGAGAAGAUUGCUCCAAAGAAGUGAAGGAAGUUUUGACUUAUAUAGAAAGAGAUGACAUCCUGCCUCCUAUUAUUGUUCUUCAGACCUUGUCCAGAAAUCCAUGCCUUACACUCUCUGUCAUCAAGGAUUAUAUAGCUCGGAAGCUUGAACAAGAGUCAAAGCUUAUUGAAGAGGAUCGUCGAGCAAUUGAGAAGUAUCAGGACGACACAUUGGCAAUGAGAAAAGAAAUUCAGGAUCUUAGGACUAAUGCAAGGAUCUUUCAGCUCAGCAAGUGCACUGCUUGCACUUUCACCCUAGAUCUUCCUGCUGUACACUUCAUGUGCAUGCAUUCAUUCCAUCAGCGUUGCCUUGGUGAUAACGAAAAGGAAUGCCCUGAGUGCGCACCGGAGUACAGGUCUGUUAUGGAGAUGAAGAGGAGUCUGGAGCAUAAUUCUAAAGAUCAAGAUCAGUUUUUUCAGCAAGUGAAGAGUUCUAAGGAUGGAUUUUCUGUGAUUGCUGAGUAUUUUGGAAAAGGGAUCAUUAGCAAAACCAGCAAUGGCCCUACAGGAACCCAGAGAUCUGGCAGUUUGUCUUCCAGCAGUGGCUUCUGAUGUUCUUUGACUGUUGCUCAUUUACAUGUUGCUAUUUCAUGCGGUGUCUUGCUUUUUCUGCUGAAUGUUGUUUGGUAAUUAGACUGAGCUGGGGUAGAAACGAGCUACAAUUGUUCUUGCUACAAUGGAUUUGUUCCUGUUAUGAGAUUGGGCAAAGUUUGUUUUGCCCACUUGAGCUUGCUGUCCAACUAAGAGAAAAUGAUGGCCCAAUGGUGGAAUACUAAGAGAUGCAUUCAUGGCUGUCAUCUGCAUUCUUUUUUACAUUAAAAGUAAACUUGGAAUCUCCCAGAGAGUAGCAUCAAAUUGAGGGCAUGAUAUGUUCAACUUGUGCUAAGGUUUACAGCUGAAUGUUUGUUGCUUGUUUUUUGUUUUCUCCUAAUCCUCAGUUUCAUCAAGUGCUCUAUUUCUUCUUUUACCAUGCAAAAAGCAAAUGUUGAGGCACAUCUUUGAGAAAUCAAUUUGGUUGUGUAUGGUUUGUGAAAUGUUCAUGGUGAAUUUUGUAUAGAUGAAUACUGCAUUGUAUUAAUAACAUGCUUGAUUAGGCCAGAAAAGAAUGCCAUCUUUGGAAUUUCAUAUCAUUUGUGGAAUUGCUACUUUAUUACUGAUUUAUAGACAAACAUGCCUUUUAGUUUCAUUGAGUUUAAUCCCUGAAAGGGAAUUACUCUCACUUGUG